rnacentral:rRNA from 1 species
GACGAACGCUGGCGGCGUGCUUAACACAUGCAAGUCGAACGGAAAGGCCCUGCUUUUGUGGGGUGCUCGAGUGGCGAACGGGUGAGUAACACGUGAGUAACCUGCCCUUGACUUUGGGAUAACUUCAGGAAACUGGGGCUAAUACCGGAUAGGAGCUCCUGCUGCAUGGUGGGGGUUGGAAAGUUUCGGCGGUUGGGGAUGGACUCGCGGCUUAUCAGCUUGGUGGUGGGGUAGUGGCUUACCAAGGCUUUGACGGGUAGCCGGCCUGAGAGGGUGACCGGCCACAUUGGGACUGAGAUACGGCCCAGACUCGUACGGGAGGCAGCAGUGGGGAAUAUUGCACAAUGGGCGGAAGCCUGAUGCAGCAACGCCGCGUGCGGGAUGACGGCCUUCGGGUUGUAAACCGCUUUCGCCUGUGACGAAGCGUGAGUGACGGUAAUGGGUAAAGAAGCACCGGCUAACUACGUG